rnacentral:rRNA from 1 species
UACGUAGGGCGCAAGCGUUGUCCGGAAUUAUUGGGCGUAAAGAGCUCGUAGGCGGCUUGUCACGUCGGGUGUGAAAGCCCGGGGCUUAACCCCGGGUCUGCAUUCGAUACGGGCUAGCUAGAGUGUGGUAGGGGAGAUCGGAAUUCCUGGUGUAGCGGUGAAAUGCGCAGAUAUCAGGAGGAACAUCGGUGGCGAAGGCGGGUCUCUGGGCAGCAACUGACGCUGAGGAGCGAAAGCGUGGGGAGCGAACAGG